ACCCUUUGUGACAUACCUAUAACUGUUGCUUCGGCGGGUAGGGUCUCCGCGACCCUCCCGGCCUCCCGCCUCCGGGCGGGUCGGCGCCCGCCGGAAGAUAACCAAACUCUGAUUUAACGACGUUUCUUCUGAGUGGUACAAGCAAAUAAUCAAAACUUUUAACAACGGAUCUCUUGGUUCUGGCAUCGAUGAAGAACGCAGCGAAAUGCGAUAAGUAAUGUGAAUUGCAGAAUUCAAUGAAUCAUCGAAUCUUUGAACGCACAUUGCGCCCGCCAGCAUUCUGGCGGGCAUGCCUGUUCGAGCGUCAUUUCAACCCUCAAGCUCUGCUUGGUGUUGGGGCCCUACAGCUGAUGUAGGCCCUCAAAGGUAGUGGCGGACCCUCUCGGAGCCUCCUUUGCGUAAUAACUUUACGUCUCGCACUGGGAUCCGGAAGGACUCUUGCCGUAAAACCCCCAAUUUUCCAAAGGUUGACCUCGGAUCAGGUAAGAAUACCCGCUGAACUUAAGCAUAUCAAUAAACGGAAAGA
rnacentral:rRNA from 1 species